rnacentral:rRNA from 1 species
AGGACGAACGCUGGCGGCGUGCUUAACACAUGCAAGUCGAGCGGUAAGGCCUCCUUCGGGGGGUACACGAGCGGCGAACGGGUGAGUAACACGUGAGUAAUCUGCCCUUCACUCUGGGAUAAGCACCGGAAACGGUGUCUAAUACCGGAUACGACCAACUGCUGCAUGGUGUGUUGGUGGAAAGUUUUUUCGGCUGGGGAUGGGCCCGCGGCCUAUCAGCUUGUUGGUGGGGUGAUGGCCUACCAAGGCGGUGACGGGUA